GGUGCGGUGUGCUGGAAACAUCGCCACUGGGGCGACCAAGGUGACCAGCGCGCGUCUCUCGCUCCGUCUCCGCGGCUGGCUUCGCUCUGUCGACGGACGUGGCGCACACUCUUCCUCCUCACCGUCGCGGCACUCUCUCUCUCCCCUGGCUGACGGCACGCUGGAGAGAGGGGAGGCUCCGCUGGAAGAGCCCGCCACGUGGCUGGUGAUGAGUAGAGGUAAGCGAUGAUGUUGCUCGGACUCCAGGCUUCCCACACCGACCCAGAGUCCUCCCCUGCCUCUCCUUAUAUUCCUCUCCACGGGGAUAAGCCCCGCCUCUAGCCACGCCCCUCAAAGAACAUUCUAGAGUGUCCCGUGCUUGCCCGAUAGCUCCGCCCGUUUACCUUUCACUCAGAUGGGAUCCCCCUAUUGGUUGAAUGUUAGUCAACCUAGCGGUGUCCAUGCAGUUACCCCCAGUCGUCCUGUAGGUGGCGCACUCUCAUUACAAAUGUAUGUACACAUGUUUAUGUGUGUAUGUCACUGACCUUGGUACCAGAUUACCCCUUUGAGGGUCAUAUUCAGCAGAGGGUGAAUCAUUGCGUUCCACAGCACUGUCGGUUCGAGUUGACCACUACACUCAAAGAAAAAUACAAUGGUCCCUGGUGAAACCGACAUAGACUGUUGGGACAGGUGCUGUUAGCGAGCCCCCUUUGAAUGCUGGUAUGGCACAUGAUGAGGUUGCAUGGCCAGCACCACGCUGUUAAUCUUACAAAGAUUAGAGAGAUUGUGAAAGGCUUAUAUUGAGUUUGCAGCAGUUGAACAACUUUUCUCCUCCUAAUACAUAGUCAAGAAGAAACUAGUGUCAAUUUUUUUAUUAUGAUUUUUGGGAUUGAAUGUGGGCAAAAGAUCCAAAGUCUUGAGUCAUUCAGUUGCUUCUGAUACCUUUUUUCCACUGCAAAAAAUUUGACAUGUUGCUGACAUCACAAACAAUGAACAAGUGGCAACACUCGUAGAUGACAUGGUGAUGCAGCGUCCUCACAACGUACUGACGCCACAUGCAAUGAAUCAGCGGAGAUGCCUGUAGAUGGUGCUGGGCCCUGAGCCAGACAGAGGUGGCUGUGCAGUGGUGAGAUUUAACUCCCUCGCUUGGUAUGCAGAAUAUAAUGGUUCGAACCCGACCAUGACACCUACUGCAUAUUUGGAGUUUACGCAUUCUCUCCGUGAUCAUGUGGGUUUUCCUUCGGCUCCUCCGGUUUUAACCUCCACAUUCAGAAACAUGCUUCUAGAGUAUUUAGCUACUCUAUAAAUUUACACGUGAUAAGCCACUUCAUUUAAUCGUCAUUUGUGGACAAGUCGCUUCUGAAAAAUAGCUAUAUAGCUCAGUGGGCCUUACCUGGAGAAAUUAAAAUAUUGUAAAAUAGUUUAGUUUUUUUGAUAUGUGUGGUGAGGGAAGUAUAUUUUGGUUUGGCUCCAGCUCGACAUGGCAAAUAGCCUUUAAACAGUCAACAAUAGACUCUGUGUGGUUAUUACAUGAUGCCUCUACUUAAGUCAAAGGGUCUCCUUGUGGGUCUAUGGGAAUUUCCCCAUCACACAUACCUGCUCUGAGGCUGUGCAUUGAGUCCACAGCGCGCCAGGGCUCGGGGCGAGGACCAGGAUUCAAUGGGGGUACCCCCCCAGCAGGACUGCACCAACCCCACGGGGACCCCCAGAGUGCGGUGUAGGUUCCGGCCAAAGAACCAACAGACGGCCGAGAAGACGGUGUAGUCUCCCAUGCCUAGGCGGUCUAGACGCACAGAGAAGCGUAGAUUAUGCAUAAGUAUAGAUAAAUGAUCCCUCGUGUAACCUCUAAUAAACUGGUUAAGAAAUUGCAAUUAGUGAGCACCUAUUGAGGCUGACAUGGCACAUGAGGAGGUGGUUGGCUAGCAACACGUCCGACUAUGCCUUUGUCUGCUCUAUGCUGAUAUUCAAUACACCACACCAGGUCCUCAUUUGAGGGUUAGUCUAUCUAGGAGACGCCCAGAACCAGUUCAGAUAUUCACCACUACACUUUUGGAAAGCAAAUUGGUUGUGCAAUUGAUGACCUGAGUAUGGAUGUGUCUUUAAUCAUUCCCCUAGUGGUGGAUCUCAUUACAAAUAAAAUGCUUCACCCUUUCCGGCAAUAAACACACGUGUUCAAAUGUUCAAACACCAAGUAAAAAAAAGGUUUGACCUUUUUUGGCAACUACACAUACUUCUGAUAUUCGUGGUUAAUGUGGACUUGAUGCCUUGUAAUCGGUGUCUAUUUGUUCUUUUAAUAUCUGUAUAUAUUGUCAGAAUGGGUAAAGCCUUUUUAAAAUAAUAUUUAUACUGGUAAAAUGGUCCAUUAAUAUUAUGAACAAGUUCACCACCUGUUCCACUGAGCGAACGCAGGUCACGUUUCUCAGUCAGCUGAAGUCUUUAAUCACUGCGGUUUCCUGUGAUAGGUUUGAAUACAAUUCUGUUACCAGAGCUCAAUAUAAAUACAUUCCUGCCAUACAG